ACAUGAUAAUAUAUGCACUUAUCUUGUUGUGGACAUUCAGAUCUCCGUGCAUUGAGCUAACAUGAAAGGAUAUAGCAAAAUAACCUUUUAUUGGUACCAACAUAACUUUAUUAUGAAAGGGCACCAUGUCUACUAACCCAAAUUUCAUGUCUUUGUCCAGUCUUUGCUCACCUUCAGUUAUGCCGGAAUAAAAAAUGUCAAGCAAUGAAAGAAAAACUCCAGAGCAUCCAGUUUUUCAUCCACUUUUCACUUUUUCUCUCAGCUAGCAAAACAUCAAAUAUGUCGAGGAUUUGUUUACGCCAUUUCUGUAUUUUUGUAUGCUCUUGGUCUUCAACAGUGGACUUGUUCUCAUAUGCAGAACCUUCAGGACCUAUAAUCAAGGAAUCAAUGUGAGCCCCUUUGGCUAAUCUAUGGAUUAGUCUUGAGCAAAAAAUUUAUAGAUACCAAUAUCAUUUGAAGUUUAGGUAUCUCCUUUGACUUCUCGUAACCAAGAGAAUAGUUUUCACAUUGUUCUUCAAAGUCAUGAAAUGGAUAGUGGAGAAAGAAAACAUGAAAAAUUGAUAAAUAACAAAAAGGAAACAAUUUAAAAAUUUCCUACCAUAAAUAGCAUGAUCUGUGAAUAGGAUGUCAAACCUGAAUGUGCAAACAAAUAUGAUUUGUGAAUAGGAUGUUACGGUGAAAAUGCAAGAAAAAUAAGAAACACCAUCCACUUAGUACAAUAGAAGAAUUGUUAAUAAGAAACUGCUGACUCCACAUUCAUGUCAAAUUUUAUUGGAAACUUAGAAUGCAGUUCUUUCAUCUGAGAAAUGGUGCUACUUUCGAAUUGUGCGACAUUUGAGAGACCAAAGUAUCAACAGUAAAAUAUGGUGGCGCACACACCUUUGUAGAGAAAUAUAAAGGGAGUGAAAGUCGUUAGACACGAUACUUUACAUUCCAGUAGUAUACUUCCAUGGCUAAGGUUAAAAUUAACAAUUGAUUUCACACGUGGUGAAUACAAUAUAAUCAAGCAUAUACAUUUCAAUGCACCUGAUGAACGCAGAACAUCAGCUUUUUGUAAUCUUGCAGAUAAGAACCUAAGCGCCUUAUUUGUUGUCAUGAAUUUUGAAUAUCAGGCAUACUUAAAUUUUGAAAGCAUCUAGUGUUUUUAAAACACAUUGAAGUCCAUUUUUGGAGGAAAAAAAAUUAGGAGCAUAGAAUCGCAACCUAUCCGGACUGAAUUGGAAUUUUUUUACUUGCCUUGGUGCUGACAUGUAGGUAAGCACCUAGUCAGCAUUGGCUCCAUUAGUGUUUGGGGUUGUGGGUAGUCGCUUGCUCAGUCAUUUUAAACAGAUUAGGCCUGUUCGCGAGGAUCUCUCCUUCCAUUGUACCACACUAUAAUGACAGAUAAAAAAUAAUUUGGACAGUGUAUUAGAUUAGAGAACACACUGUAAACAUCGUUGUGACAAAUACUAUGCAGUCUACCAUAACGACGUUCAAUAAUUUAUAUGCUUCUCUACUCUUAGAUCCUUGCGAGUGGAGUCUACCAUAACGUUCAAUAAUUUAUAUGCUUCACUAUUCUUAGAUCCUUGCGAUUCAGACAGUAAGCUUCUAGUGCUAAGACCACUUCUUUACAUCUUUUAGCAGCGGUCCCUCCACCCAUUAAACCUUUAUCAUGGUAAACAUGCAAGACAUUACGAGAGCAGUUAUUAAUGAGACACCAAGAAAAAAGGCAUGUAGAGCCAAACAAUGCUUCCAUUUUGUAACAUGUUUUAAUUGUAUUCAAAUACAUAAUGAAAUUAAGGCAGAAUAUUUGUAGAUGGCUUAGUGCCAAAGAGAAAGCACUUGUAGCCAUGCACGUUUAUCAUUUAUGAUAUUUUCUACUGCACAAGUGUUUAGUUUAUUGCUACUUAGGAAUAACCGGUUAAAUAAGAUGACUUACAGAGAUCCAACUUUUAGUAAAGCAGAGCAGUUCGUG
rnacentral:lncRNA from 1 species